UUUCCUUUUCUGAAAAACUCCUGGAAGAUACUAACAUUGAGCAAAGGUACUAGGUUUUUGCUAAAGAUUCACCCACAAGUUAUUAUUGCCUGGCCAACUGUGUGCUACACAAGGCCUAAUAAAUGAGAAAAUAGACAUGAUUAUACUUUAGACAAGUUGCUAUUCAAAUGUAAGAUGGUCUCUAAACUCAUUUUUAUUGAUUUAAAAAAAUGAAUAAUUGAAUGCUAUAUGCUGCAAAUACUUUUCAUUUUAGUUGCAAUCAUUAAAAUAAUAUGAUUUCGUUUAUUGAGUUAAAAUAUUGCAAUGCAAAUGACUUGCUAUUUUUAACUUAAUAUUUUGCCAUAUUUGCAGUAAAACUGUCUUUAUUAGCUAUAGCUUCAAAACUGAUAGGGACCUAAAAUUGUUACCAUAUAGAUGAUACACAUUUCAAUUCUGGACUAGGGCAGAGAGAAUUAUAUUUGCUUAAUUUUUUCCUUGACCUUUUAAGUUAUGUUAUGAUCAGAUGUUGCAACCAAUUAGUAGGUGUUCACCUGUUGUAAAGCAUUUUGCACAUUUGGCCUUAAUGCAAGAUACCUUUCUUUUGUAAAAUAAGGCUCUUUAUUAAAAGAAAAACUUGCAUUCUGCAUUAUUUGAUAGAAUAUUUAUAUCCACCUGAUGGUUCCCUACUUAUUUAUAUUUUAUACUAUAUGCAAGUAUUAAGGUUUCGAAGCAUGAUCUUGACUUGAGUAUGCAUUUUCAUUAUGAUCACUUGAAUUCUCUUCAUGUGAAAAUUGAAGAGUAAAUGUAAAAGUCAAUGAGGGUAAAAAGGCCUUGGGGAGCAAAUUUCAAGGGUUCAGUUAUUUAUUUAACAAGUCUGAUAAAUCAACUUGUCAAUUGGCAGCUUUCAGCAGCCUGUGUUAACAUAUCCUUGAACACCUAAUAGUGAGCAGGCAUUCGUUUUAGGCUGGGUAUUUGCUAGCGAACCAAAUGAAAACAAUCUCUGAUCUCAUUCAUCUUAGUGUUAGUUGGAGGAACUUACAUUACAAACAAUCCCACAUGUGAUAAGUGCUCUGAAGGAAAAGAAAAGGAACCUGUGGCAGAACAAGAGGAUGGUUUGAAGAGAUGGAAGAGAUGCGUGAGACAGGGUCAGCAGGCGAGGAGAGGAAGAGUUUGACGGGCAGAAAGAGAACCGUGUGUGCAGGACCUGAGGUGGGGAAAGCCUGCUGGAGUGUGGAUAUUGGAGGGAAGUGAGGAGAGCAGCCAGUCAGUAAAAACCUACCAAAAACCUUUCUACUGUUCUGGAUGCUGAGCAGUUUCAGAGCGAGGUGGUAGCCAUUGCGGUGCAGGGACAACAGUAGAUUCAAGGUAAAACAAAAUCAUUGGGGUUCUGACAGAUUGGAUAUGAAGUGAGGGAGAGAGGCAUAUGUUAAGUGUGACUCAGGCCGA